rnacentral:misc_RNA from 1 species
AACGCACCUUGCACCAUGCGAGCAAUCGCAUGGUAUACCUGUUUGAGAAUCGUAAAACCCUCUCCUGCCCCAGUGGCGGGGACUUGCCGGUGGGCAUGCCUUGGCGUGCCCUCUGGUCAAAAGGAGCAGGCCGGACUGUGCUGGUGGUCCGGGACAUUGUGUGCUAGAGACACCGCCUCGGCGGACCGUCUUCUCACGAUGCGUCCCGGGCUAUCAAGCCAGCACAGCUGCGGCCUCCCAGUAGUGGGUCGGAUGGGACGUGCGGUUGGUGCGCCUUGGUGCGCCCCACACAACACACCCGUACGCACUACAACCCCCCUUUUUGAUCUCAAAUCAGGUAAGACUACCCGCUGAACUUAA